AUGUAUACGCAAAACGUAGUGUUUCAAUAAGGUAACUUUACAUCUGUGUAACGACAGUGAAAUAAAUUUUGGAAGUAGAACACUUUCUUCUACUUUUUUCUCGCCUUAACAAACAGAGCAUAUGUCACUAGUUAAGCCUUAUAAUGUCGAACAAUUCUAUCUUAACAUUUAAGGAAACAUGACGGUGCUACCUUUUAACCGUCAUUCGCGCGUCUCUGCUCUUCUGUUAUGGGACUUUGCCAAAGAAAACGUGUGUUUUGUGAUUAUGAAUGAUCAGUUCUUUGACAGUCAUUCUGUAAUUAGAAAACCAAAGGGGAGCUAUGACUGCUAUCUACUGUAAAUGUUUGUCUGGUCAUACUUAAAUUACCAUGCCGAGCCGAACGACGUGCCUGCCGCUCAUAGUGACUCUGCUGGCGGCGCUGUGGUUGAGUUUGGGUGGGUGCGGUGUCUCCGGACCUCCAGAAUGUGAUAAUGGAAAGCUCUCUUUGGAAAUGGACCUGUCUGGGUAUGCUGUGUUUUGGAAUGGGCCAGAAUCUAUUUGGCCAGAGUCCACGCAGAGGCUUCCCAGUAUUGACACGGUGUAUGAUCCAGAGGUGAGUAAACGCUUUAGAAAGCAUAUCAUUUGAGAGUUUACCCCAACCUUUGAACCUCGAACAGUAUGCCUAUAACUGUUUCCUAAAAUCAAAGCCCAAUGAAAUAACACUCAGUGACACAUCCAGAUUCAAAGUCUACAUUACUACUACAAAUUUACAAAAAAGUGUUUGGUGUUGUAUUGAAAUGUGUUAGUUGUGUGCAGCAGAUUGAGGUCACUAAAGUGUCAAUAACAAAUUGGGGCAAAGUAAUUCGGUGUUGGUCUCUGAAAAGGUGUUUAUAGUAUACACCGGCGAUGGAGUGAUUCAACUUCAUUUGACCAGGUUUCUUUUCACUGCAGCCAGCCAUGAGAUCUGCAUGGAUACACCUAUUUUCUACAACCAUACCAUUCCCAACAGUGGAGCCUACAGACCAGUAAGGGCAGAGAGCGGAGAGUACUUGUACUGUCCUCCUCAACGUUGGCUCAAUAACUUGCACCAUGGAGCUACUGUUCUGCUCUACCACCCCUGUUCUCCUCUCCGUGAGCGUUUACUUCUGUCUGUCCUAGCCCGCUCCUGUUUGCCAGACUCCAUCAUGACCUCACAUCCACAGCUCAAUAAACACAGGCCAAUUGCCUUGGUGUCAUGGGGUCACACUUUGGAGCUGUCCACAGCGGCCUCUUCAGACAUCUGUGAUUGGCUGGAAACCACAGCAUCCACAAGGAAUACGUUUGGUGGCGUGAGCCAGAGCUGGAAAUACAACCUGCUGUUAACCCGGUCAGCCGAGCAGCACCGGCAGCAACGUGCACUUCCAGGGGAACACUCUGCAAAACUGAAGGAGUCUGUGAAGCGAUGCUGUGAGCAGACCAUCUCUUCUCUGCUGAGUGGAGCGAUGGAGACACAGCUAGAAUCCAGCAUGAAGAAGAAAGGCUUGAAGCUAAUUAAAGAGGAAGGAAAACGCAGGCAGAUAAGAGAUGCCAAUAAAGGAAACCUGGAUAAUGUUGAGGAUGAAAACGAAAGAGGAUAUACAAAACAAAACAAUACCAACAGAACCUCCAUCAGCAGGACAAGAGACAUUCAGAACUACAACAACACUCUUGGACCUUCAGCAGGAAACAAUGAAGCUCAGUCUGAGGUCCAAAAUACAAAGCAUGGCCUCACACCCAGUCCUUUAUUGGGGUCAAAUAUGUCUGAGACUUCCCUUAGAAGUGAUUCUUCAGGACUAAGGGCUCCUGAGACUCUACAGACAGCAGCACAGCAGACCAGUACUACACAUACUGACCCCAGAAACCCAAACCCUUCGGCUGGGUUGGUUGUUAUUGCCGAAGGUGCGAACAGUGAACAUAACAACACCGUCAGGCCCGAAGCCCAGGACAUUAGCUCCAAACAUGAAGGUACAGCCAAACACAGAGACAAAAACUCCAUUAAACACAGCCUCAAACAGAACAAGAUGGGAAGAGAUGACACAAUGAAGGAUAACGAAGCACUAGACAUUAAAGAAAGAGAGUUGGAACAUAAGCAUUCACACUCUCACCACACAAGUGAAAAGAGUGGCUCUGAUUCUGUUUCAAAAUCAAAGUCUCCGAACCCACAGACAGUCAGUUAUCUGCCCAACGACUGUGACAGCUGCAAAGCAGGGGAACACUGUGAGUGCAGCGAGGGGUCCGGGGCCACUGCUGUGAACUUCGGAUUGCCCAGAACCCCGAGGACGGAGGAGGCGGUGUGGGCUGCAGCGGCUCUGGGCUUCCUGCUGAUCCUCCUGACCCUGUCGGUUCUUCACACAAGGCUGUACCGCCACUGGACGACCACACCCAGCCUCUACUGGCACGACCCGCAGCGGGACUAUGACAGUGUGGCAGGUAGGAACACCGCACUAACCACAAUACACAAGACCAGUUUUAAUCCAUUUAAACUUUCAUCCUUCUUGUUUAAUGUAGGCAUUUGAAAAAAGUAAGCUUAUUUUGUAGGGAAUGAGGCCUUACCCUAAGUGAAGGAGUUCAAGUAUCUCGGGGUCUUGUUCUCGAGGGAGGGAACAAUGGAGUGUGAGAUGGGCCGGAGAAUCGGAGCAGCGGGAGCGGUACUGCAGUCGCUUUACCGCACCGUUGUGACAAAAAGAGAGCAGAGCCAGAAGGCAAAGCUCUCUGUCUACCGGGCCAUCUUCGUUCCUACCCUCACCUAUGGUCAUGAAGGAUGGGUCAUGACCGAAAGAAUGAGAUCGCGGAUACAAGCGGCCGAAAUGGGAUUUCUCCGCAAGGGUGGCUGGCAUCUCCCUUAGGGAUAAGCUGAGAAGUUCAGUCAUCCGGGAGGGACUCGGAGUAGAACCGCUGCUCCUUCGAGUUAAAAGGAGCCAGUUGAGGUGGUUCGGUCACCGAGUAAGGAUGCCACCUGGGCGCCUCCCUAGGGAGGUGUUCCAGGCACGUCCAGCUGGGAAGAGACCGAGGGGUAGACCUAGGACCAGGUGGAGGGAUUAUAUCUCUUCGCUGGCCUGGGAGCGCCUUGGAAUCCCCCAGUCAGAGCUGGCUGAUGUGGCCAGGGAAAGGAAAGUUGGGGGCUCUCUGCUGGAGCUGUUACCUCCGCGGCCCUGACGGAUGUGAUCCGCAGGAGGCUACGGAUUGCCAACAGACGGCGGAAAAGAAGCCGACGACAGGAGUGUGUGCUUCUGCCCAGCUCCUCCAGCUCAGACGACCAUCCGUAGACAAAAGAAGGAAACACCCCCAAGAGUGAAACCCAAGACUCAUUCCAUUGAGAAACACAUACCCGUGUUUUGCAAAUUAGGUUCGACUCAAUCUAUCUUUUAUCAAAUAAGUGACUUGAUCAUCUGAAAGCUGAAGCUGGAAUGCCACAUAGAUCACAAAUAACCUUUUUAUGGAUGGAUAGGUAACAUACAGUAGUCCAAAACUACAACCCCAAGUCACAAGCUUAAACGAUAAUUACACGAGGCUAAUGUAUGUUAAUGUAAGCUGACACAACUCUAUUCAGUCCUUUGGUUCCAGAUCAAUCCUUAAACCCCAUCAGGGAAUCCCUAGAGUACAAACAUUUACAUUAAAGAGUCCAAGUUGUUUUAAUAUCUCUGAUCUGAUCCCCUACACAUCACACACCACAAACGCCUUACUUUGUUCACUCCAAUGCAUCACACUCAAUUUAAAUUCUCCAGUUCUGUUCUUGCAAAUGUUUUGUUGUGUUUUCAUCGUGCUACUUUUUGUCAAUAUGCUGUCUUUAUAAAUAGUUUUAUAGUUAUAUGACAUUUCUUUUAGUUGUGAUGUUUUACUAUGUGAAUAUGGAAGUUGCUGUUCUAAGCAACGCUGUGUGCUGUAUUUGUUAUUAAAUGGUACAAACUUUUGAACGGCUGUAUUUCGACAGUUUGGACUAAAUUUGAAGGACGACAAUGUAUUGCUUUACAUAAGUCUGUUGACUCCUGUUUGAAACAGCUGCACUGGAUGUCAGAGCUGACUUUUGAGGCUGAUACCACUAUCAAUAUUCUAGUCUUGAAAACGGUUAUUAGUUAUAGGAGCCUUCGAUAGGAAUCUGUCAAAUGUGUUGUUUUAAAAGACAAAAAUAAUUGAUUAAGACGAAAAAAAUAAGUAGCAAACUAGAUAUGGUUUCUUAUACAGACUCGAAAUGCUAUAGAGAGUUGUAGUGGUUAUAUAUAUAUACUAUAAUAGCCUGUGAGGUUGUCAUCAAAUGUAAUGAAACAAUUCAAACCUUUAAUCUAGGUAUCAGGUAGGGAAAAGAUGCAAUUAAAGGUUCAAGAACACCACAAUCA